AUGAACGCUGGCGGCGUGCCUAAUACCUGCAAGUCGAGCGAACAGACGAGGAGCUUGCUCCUCUGACGUUAGCGGCGGACGGGUGAGUAACACGUGGAUAACCUACCUAUAAGACUGGGAUAACUUCGGGAAACCGGAGCUAAUACCGGAUAAUAUAUUGAACCGCAUGGUUCAAUAGUGAAAGACGGUUUUGCUGUCACUUAUAGAUGGAUCCGCGCCGCAUUAGCUAGUUGGUAAGGUAACGGCUUACCAAGGCAACGAUGCGUAGCCGACCUGAGAGGGUGAUCGGCCACACUGGAACUGAGACACGGUCCAGACUCCUACGGGAGGCAGCAGUAGGGAAUCUUCCGCAAUGGGCGAAAGCCUGACGGAGCAACGCCGAGUGAGUGAUGAAGGUCUUCGGAUCGUAAAACUCUGUUAUUAGGGAAGAACAAAUGUGUAAGUAACUAUGCACGUCUUGACGGUACCUAAUCAGAAAGCCACGGCUAACUACGUG
rnacentral:rRNA from 1 species